AUUGAACGCUGGCGGCAUGCCUUACACAUGCAAGUCGAACGGUAACAGGUUAAGCUGACGAGUGGCGAACGGGUGAGUAAUGUAUCGGAACGUGCCCAGUCGUGGGGGAUAACUACUCGAAAGAGUGGCUAAUACCGCAUACGACCUGAGGGUGAAAGCGGGGGACCGUAGGCCUCGCGCGAUUGGAGCGGCCGAUAUCAGAUUAGCUAGUUGGUGGGGUAAAAGCCCACCAAGGCGACGAUCUGUAGCUGGUCUGAGAGGACGACCAGCCACACUGGGACUGAGACACGGCCCAGACUCCUACGGGAGGCAGCAGUGGGGAAGUUUGGACAAUGGACGCAAGUCUGAUCCAGCCAUGCCGCGUGCGGGAAGAAGGCCUUCGGGUUGUAAACCGCUUUUGUCAGGGAAGAAACGAGUUUCUCUAAUACAGAGACUUAAUGACGGUACCUGAAGAAUAAGCACCGGCUAACUACGUGCCAGCCGCCGCCGUAAAAC
rnacentral:rRNA from 1 species